AACGAACGCUGGCGGCAUGCCUAACACAUGCAAGUCGAACGAGACCUUCGGGUCUAGUGGCGCACGGGUGCGUAACGCGUGGGAACCUGCCCUUAGGUUCGGAAUAACUCCCCGAAAGGGGUGCUAAUACCGGAUAAUGUCUUCGGACCAAAGAUUUAUCGCCUUUGGAUGGGCCCGCGUUGGAUUAGCUAGUUGGUAGGGUAAAAGCCUACCAAGGCGACGAUCCAUAGCUGGUCUGAGAGGAUGAUCAGCCACACUGGGACUGAGACACGGCCCAGACUCCAGGGGGAGAAGAAGGGGGAAAUAGUAAAAAGGGCGCGAAGGCUGAAUCCAGCAUUGCCGCGUGAGUAAGGAGGGCUUUGGGGUUGUAAACUUUUUUUCCCCGGGAUGAAAAUCAGAGACGGGGGAAAAAAGCCCCGGCCAAGCCCGGCC
rnacentral:rRNA from 1 species